rfam:Klebsiella pneumoniae subsp. pneumoniae MGH 78578, complete sequence.
GGUUAAGCGACUAAGCGUACACGGUGGAUGCCCUGGCAGUCAGAGGCGAUGAAGGACGUGCUAAUCUGCGAAAAGCGUCGGUAAGGUGAUAUGAACCGUUAUAACCGGCGAUGUCCGAAUGGGGAAACCCAGUGCAAUUCGUUGCACUAUCGUUAACUGAAUACAUAGGUUAACGAGGCGAACCGGGGGAACUGAAACAUCUAAGUACCCCGAGGAAAAGAAAUCAACCGAGAUUCCCCCAGUAGCGGCGAGCGAACGGGGAGCAGCCCAGAGUCUGAAUCAGCUUGUGUGUUAGUGGAACGGUCUGGAAAGUCCGACGGUACAGGGUGAUAGUCCCGUACACCAAAAUGCACAGGCUGUGAACUCGAAGAGUAGGGCGGGACACGUGGUAUCCUGUCUGAAUAUGGGGGGACCAUCCUCCAAGGCUAAAUACUCCUGACUGACCGAUAGUGAACCAGUACCGUGAGGGAAAGGCGAAAAGAACCCCGGCGAGGGGAGUGAAAAAGAACCUGAAACCGUGUACGUACAAGCAGUGGGAGCACCUUCGGGUGUGACUGCGUACCUUUUGUAUAAUGGGUCAGCGACUUAUAUUCUGUAGCAAGGUUAACCGUAUAGGGGAGCCGCAGGGAAACCGAGUCUUAACUGGGCGUUAAGUUGCAGGGUAUAGACCCGAAACCCGGUGAUCUAGCCAUGGGCAGGUUGAAGGUUGGGUAACACUAACUGGAGGACCGAACCGACUAAUGUUGAAAAAUUAGCGGAUGACUUGUGGCUGGGGGUGAAAGGCCAAUCAAACCGGGAGAUAGCUGGUUCUCCCCGAAAGCUAUUUAGGUAGCGCCUCGUGAACUCAUCUUCGGGGGUAGAGCACUGUUUCGGCUAGGGGGUCAUCCCGACUUACCAACCCGAUGCAAACUACGAAUACCGAAGAAUGUUAUCACGGGAGACACACGGCGGGUGCUAACGUCCGUCGUGAAGAGGGAAACAACCCAGACCGCCAGCUAAGGUCCCAAAGUCAUGGUUAAGUGGGAAACGAUGUGGGAAGGCACAGACAGCCAGGAUGUUGGCUUAGAAGCAGCCAUCAUUUAAAGAAAGCGUAAUAGCUCACUGGUCGAGUCGGCCUGCGCGGAAGAUGUAACGGGGCUAAACCAUGCACCGAAGCUGCGGCAGCGACACUAUGUGUUGUUGGGUAGGGGAGCGUUCUGUAAGCCUGCGAAGGUGUGCUGUGAGGCAUGCUGGAGGUAUCAGAAGUGCGAAUGCUGACAUAAGUAACGAUAAAGCGGGUGAAAAGCCCGCUCGCCGGAAGACCAAGGGUUCCUGUCCAACGUUAAUCGGGGCAGGGUGAGUCGACCCCUAAGGCGAGGCCGAAAGGCGUAGUCGAUGGGAAACAGGUUAAUAUUCCUGUACUUGGUGUUACUGCGAAGGGGGGACGGAGAAGGCUAUGUUAGCCGGGCGACGGUUGUCCCGGUUUAAGCAUGUAGGCUGGUUGUCCAGGCAAAUCCGGAUAAUCAAGGCUGAGGUGUGAUGACGAGGCACUACGGUGCUGAAGUAACAAAUGCCCUGCUUCCAGGAAAAGCCUCUAAGCAUCAGGUAACAUCAAAUCGUACCCCAAACCGACACAGGUGGUCAGGUAGAGAAUACCAAGGCGCUUGAGAGAACUCGGGUGAAGGAACUAGGCAAAAUGGUGCCGUAACUUCGGGAGAAGGCACGCUGGUGUGUAGGUGAAGUCCCUGCGGAUGGAGCUGAGACCAGUCGAAGAUACCAGCUGGCUGCAACUGUUUAUUAAAAACACAGCACUGUGCAAACACGAAAGUGGACGUAUACGGUGUGACGCCUGCCCGGUGCCGGAAGGUUAAUUGAUGGGGUUAUCCGUAAGGAGAAGCUCUUGAUCGAAGCCCCGGUAAACGGCGGCCGUAACUAUAACGGUCCUAAGGUAGCGAAAUUCCUUGUCGGGUAAGUUCCGACCUGCACGAAUGGCGUAAUGAUGGCCAGGCUGUCUCCACCCGAGACUCAGUGAAAUUGAACUCGCUGUGAAGAUGCAGUGUACCCGCGGCAAGACGGAAAGACCCCGUGAACCUUUACUAUAGCUUGACACUGAACAUUGAGCCUUGAUGUGUAGGAUAGGUGGGAGGCUUUGAAGCGUGGACGCCAGUCUGCGUGGAGCCAACCUUGAAAUACCACCCUUUAAUGUUUGAUGUUCUAACGUUGGCCCCUUACCGGGGUUGCGGACAGUGUCUGGUGGGUAGUUUGACUGGGGCGGUCUCCUCCCAAAGCGUAACGGAGGAGCACGAAGGUUAGCUAAUCCUGGUCGGACAUCAGGAGGUUAGUGCAAUGGCAUAAGCUAGCUUGACUGCGAGCGUGACGGCGCGAGCAGGUGCGAAAGCAGGUCAUAGUGAUCCGGUGGUUCUGAAUGGAAGGGCCAUCGCUCAACGGAUAAAAGGUACUCCGGGGAUAACAGGCUGAUACCGCCCAAGAGUUCAUAUCGACGGCGGUGUUUGGCACCUCGAUGUCGGCUCAUCACAUCCUGGGGCUGAAGUAGGUCCCAAGGGUAUGGCUGUUCGCCAUUUAAAGUGGUACGCGAGCUGGGUUUAGAACGUCGUGAGACAGUUCGGUCCCUAUCUGCCGUGGGCGCUGGAGAAUUGAGGGGGGCUGCUCCUAGUACGAGAGGACCGGAGUGGACGCAUCACUGGUGUUCGGGUUGUCAUGCCAAUGGCACUGCCCGGUAGCUAAAUGCGGAAGAGAUAAGUGCUGAAAGCAUCUAAGCACGAAACUUGCCCCGAGAUGAGUUCUCCCUGAGACUUUAAGUCUCCUGAAGGAACGUUAAAGACGAUGACGUUGAUAGGCCGGGUGUGUAAGCGCAGCGAUGCGUUGAGCUAACCGGUACUAAUGAACCGUGAGGCUUAACCUU